rnacentral:sRNA from 1 species
UACCGUCUUCAGUGUAAAAUUUAAUGGC